ACCAAUGAUGGCAACUUGGUUUACAUCUGAAAGCAAAUUGUUAGAUUUUCAUAAUUGUUGAUAAUCAUUGAACUAGGAUGGUUUAAGGC
rnacentral:snoRNA from 1 species